rnacentral:lncRNA from 1 species
GAAGAGAUCCUCCUGAAUUAAUGGGGUGGGCCUUAAAUCCAAUGACUAAUGUCCUUAUAAGAAACAGAAUAGGAGAUGACACAGGGAAAGGAGGAGAAGGCCAUGAGAAGACUGAAAUAACUGGAAUGAAGCUCACAGCCCCAGAAGCUGGAAGAGUCAAGGAACAGUUUGUCCCCUAGAGCCUUUGGAGGAAGCAUAGCCCUGCUUUGCUGAUAUAAAAAUUUUUGUGAGUUUAUGGAUUUUGUAAACUGCACAAUUACUUUUCAAACACUUGAAAAUAUUAAAUGCUAUAAUAGUUUUACCAGGUCUUGGUAAAGUGUAACUUUUUCCAGGGAGACUUCUCAGACCUCCCAAUCUUUAUCGGUGCCCCUUCGUUGUGUUCCUGUGGCCACCUAUGCU